GCGGCUGAGGGCGGGCUGACGGGCGGCGCCGACGGACGCACCGCGACGCGAGGGGAGGUCUGACCCGGCUGGGUUGGAGUCCCGGAGCCCCCGCAGCCGUCUUCGUAAAAUCGGCCCCCGCCCCGCGGGACCGGCCCCAGCCUAGCGGUUGGGCCGGCGCCCUGGGUCGCGGACCAACGCUGGAGGGGCCUCGCUGCCUGGGCCGGGCGCUUCCCGGAUCCGCCUCGCCGGACCCCGCGCCCGCCUAAUCCCUGAUCUCCACGAGUUUGGGUGAGAAGUCGGGUUGCUCUGCCCAGGAUGGAUUUUAGAGGAAGAAAGCCGAGAGCCGACGAACCCCGCCCGAACUUCCCCGGAGACGCCCAGUUAUGAAUGAUCAAGAAAGUAACUUCUUAAAAUGACACUGGAACAUCUCAAAAGAGAAGAGUUUAAGAGAAAGAACACUGGACAGAGUUGGAGCUGAGCUCCGGCCAGCUCCUCCACAGACAAACUGCUUGGGCCUGUCACCUAACCUUUCAAGUUUCGCCAACCUCAUCUGUGAAGGAGUUUGGACCAGAGGAUUCCCAGAGUCCUUUCCAGGUCUAAAGGGUUAUGAUUCCAUUUUUUGAGGUAACUAUGAAAAAAUAAAAAUAAAACUAGUCAUUGAAAUUCAGGAAAA